rnacentral:misc_RNA from 1 species
ACUUCCACAAGCUUCCCUGGAUUAAUCCACCUGCAAACCAUAACCAUAUGCUUAAAUUUGCCUACCUGCCUUGUUCUGUCCAGAGUUUUAACAGGUCUAAGUGCGGGGUAAGAAUCAAAGGGUUUGAUUCGGUUCAGUUUUAAAAACAAUAAAAAAACCUGAACAAAAUCAAAAUUUUUGGCAAAUUAGAAAGAAAAUUAAAUCGAAUCAAAUUAAAAAAUUGAAUAAUUUUCUGUAAAUUAAAUAAAACUGAACUGAACUGGUUCGAUUCAGUUUGAUUUAAACUCUAUCUUAAUUUUUUUCUUUUUUACUUAUUUUGAACUCAUUUCUGACUCAAUUUCGGCUAUGUUUCUUAUUUUAAUUCUAAUUUAAAGCCUUAUAAUAACUAAUUAAAAAAAUUAUUCAGUUCAAUUUAACUUAUUUUCUGUCUCAAAAAAUAAAACUGAACUAAAUAAAUAAAAUUUCUUAAAUAAGAAAAACCAAAUUACUACAAAAAAUUAAACUGAGUUUCCCAAUUAAAUCGAUUCGAUAAAAUUUUUCAAUUUGAAUAGAAUUCUGCUCACCCCUAGAAUAUAAGACCUUUGGAAGUUGAACAUCACAAUUAUGUGAAUGAAGAUACAGCGCGCUAGGAGUAUUUUGGACAGCAAAAUCUCAAUUUUUCAAUGGUGUUAUAGAAUGUAGACUGCAAACUUACCUGGACUUUCACCUCCAUUCUC